UUAAAGACAUGGAUAUGGAUUUCAAUAUGAUAGUCAACAAUGUGGAACAAAUGCAUAGCCUGAAAAAAGAGGUGUUUUUCAGAGAAGCUAAUGGGAAACUCAGAUGGGCUCUUAGAAGUGGUCGGUUUGGUCCAUUUACAGAAGAGUUUGUUUUGAUACAAGUUCUAUGUAAAAAAGAAGAAGUAAGUUCUAUGUAAAAAAGAAGAAGUAAACAGGCUGGUGGCUGAACUGGUUCUUCUGAGACAUAAAUCAUGCUGACCACUGUAUAUCAUUUCAUGUUGACCACUGCAUAUCAUUGUUACAUCCAUUUUCAUUUUUAUUUUUUUUCUUCAAAAAACUUUUAUCUGUAGAUAUUUGUAGCAAAACAUAUUGACUAAACCUAUAUUUAAAGUGACAGUCCAUAUAUUUGAAUUUGUUUUAUGAUUUAUAAUCUCUUAUAUCAACUUUUUUAUUCGAAAAUAUUAAUCCUUAGCUGAAAAUGUCGCUCAAAUUUAUCACACAAAACCUUUUUUGGAACCC